UACUAACAGCGACUUAAAAAAAAAAAAAUUUUUUUUUUUUUAAAUUUUAAUAGUACUGAACUUGAAGUCGCUGUAAUUUAUUGUUUUUGGAGCAGCUCGUUUUUUAACCUUCAUACAAUUAUUUAAUAGUAGAUGAACUAACUAUAUAAACUUGUUAUUGUUUGAUUAAUCUUCCGAUGUGGGACUGUGUUCUGGAACACAUCAAAAUAAAUGAAACAAAAAAUUAGCUCACGAAUAGAGCACCGAUAUGGGACUGAGCACCGAAUAGAACACAUCAAACAGUUAUAAUGAUUGUAGUUGUGCAAGCAAGGGGUUGUUGGCUUCAUCAUGCUCGACCAUUUUUGCUCCUGAAUAUUCUCAUGCAUUUUUAAGUUCAAGGCAACUUAAAGACUCGUGUUUCAAAAAAUCUCAUUCCGAUCUCAUUGUUAGAGCUGGAAGGAGCUAUUAUUCUGUUCUUGGGGUUGAAGAAAAUGCUAGGAAGUCUGAUAUUAAAACUGCUUAUAAGAAGCUUGCACGGACGUACCAUCCUGAUGUAAACAAGUAAGUUGAACUUUGCCAUAUGGUCUUGUAGUAGUUUGUCUAAAUAAUACCUUAGAAAUCCUCUAAAUAUGUUCCUGAUGUGUUCUAU